rnacentral:rRNA from 1 species
AUGGAAAAAUUGAAGGAAGACUUUAAGAAUGAGCGUCUAGGCUGGGAUGCAGAAAAAACAACUUUGCUGAAGAAAGCUGAAGAUGCUGACACGGCCCUUAAACCGGUGGCAGAAGAGUUAACCAGUUUGAAGCAACAAAUAAAUGCUACAACUGCUGCUGUCUUUGGAUCUUGCAUCACACAUCUGGGCUCUGAUAUGCAGAAGAAGUUGAAGGCUGCCUCUACACUGAUAGAACAACUAUAUACCGGUGCACAACGGGUUAUCUGCAUAGCUUCUUACAAUAAACUGCCACCAACUUUGAUCAAGGAUACUUUAGAGAGGCUGUCCAUGAUGCCCGCCCGGCUUGAAGAGCUAAAACGAUCAGCAGCAAGGGCCGGUGCUCUUACUCCGUUGACCCAUGCUAAAGCAUGGAUAUCUGAUCUUGAUCCGGCUGACAUAGGGGAUGGCUAUCCAAGCAUCAAGGAGGACGGAUCAGAAUUUGAUAAUGAAGAUCUUCAGGCUUUGACGAGGGAGAUGCGCUCGUCGGCUAGUAAGUUGACCGAAGAGACUGAUCUUUCAUUUCAUCAAUCGAUUUAUGAUGCUCACAACAAGAGGGUCAAUACGCCGAGCUACAAAACUCCCACUCUUAUUCCGCCAAUUCGUAAGCAAACUUAUGCCCCUGAAGUCGACCCCUCCAAUCUUACAAGCGAUGAAGCUGUGUUCAGAGCCUUAACUGGGAUCGAUUGGUCAACCACUGACUUCCAGCCACUGGAUAGAGAGGAGGAGGAUGAUCCGCAACCAUCAAGCCAGCCCGCCAUUGAUGCAUAA